AUUGAACGCUGGCGGCAUGCCUUACACAUGCAAGUCGAACGGCAGCGGACCUUCGGGUGCCGGCGAGUGGCGAACGGGUGAGUAAAGUAUCGGAACGUACCUUUCAGUGGGGGAUAACUGUCCGAAAGGACAGCUAAUACCGCAUAUUCUGUGAGCAGGAAAGCAGGGGAUCGCAAGACCUUGCGCUGAUUGAGCGGCCGAUAUCAGAUUAGCUAGUUGGUGAGGUAAAGGCUCACCAAGGCGACGAUCUGUAGCGGGUCUGAGAGGAUGAUCCGCCACACUGGAACUGAGACACGGUCCAGACUCCUACGGGAGGCAGCAGUGGGGAAUUUUGGACAAUGGGGGCAACCCUGAUCCAGCCAUGCCGCGUGAGUGAAGAAGGCCUCGGUU
rnacentral:rRNA from 1 species